UGGGGAAUAUUGGACAAUGGGCGAAAGCCUGAUCCAGCCAUGCCGCGUGUGGGAAGAAGGUCUUCGGAUUGUAAAGCACUUUAAGUUGGGAGGAAGGGCAUUAACCUAAUACGUUAGUGUUUUGACGUUACCGACAGAAUAAGCACCGGCUAACUCUGUGCCAGCAGCCGCGGUAAUACAGAGGGGGCAAGCGUUAAUCGGAAUUACUGGGCGUAAAGCGCGCGUAGGUGGUUUGUUAAGUUGGAUGUGAAAUCCCCGGGCUCAACCUGGGAACUGCAUUCAAAACUGACUGACUAGAGUAUGGUAGAGGGUGGUGGAAUUUCCUGUGUAGCGGUGAAAUGCGUAGAUAUAGGAAGGAACACCAGUGGCGAAGGCGACCACCUGGACUAAUACUGACACUGAGGUGCGAAAGCGUGGGGAGCAAACA
rnacentral:rRNA from 1 species